GACGAACGCUGGCGGCGUGCCUAAUACAUGCAAGUCGAACGCUUCUUUCCUCCCGAGUGCUUGCACUCAAUUGGAAAGAGGAGUGGCGGACGGGUGAGUAACACGUGGGUAACCUACCCAUCAGAGGGGGAUAACACUUGGAAACAGGUGCUAAUACCGCAUAACAGUUUAUGCCGCAUGGCAUAAGAGUGAAAGGCGCUUUCGGGUGUCGCUGAUGGAUGGACCCGCGGUGCAUUAGCUAGUUGGUGAGGUAACGGCUCACCAAGGCCACGAUGCAUAGCCGACCUGAGAGGGUGAUAGGCCACACUGGGACUGAGACACGGCCCAGAAUCCUAAGGGAGGCAGCAGUAGGGAAUCUUCGGCAAUGGACGAAAGUCUGAACGAGCAAAGCCGCGUGAGUGAAGAAGGUUUUCGGAUCGUAAAACUCUGUUGUUAGAGAAGAACAAGGACGUUAGUAACUGAACGUCCCCUGACGGUAUCUAACCAGAAAGCCACGGCUAACUACGUG
rnacentral:rRNA from 1 species